ACUCAAAUGAAUUGACGGGGGCUCGCACAAGCGGUGGAUCAUGGGGCUUAAUUCGUCGGUAAGCGAGGAACCUUACCAAGGCUAGAAACUAUACUGCACGCCUAGUGAAAGCUAGGAAGCCUUCGAGGGUGUAUAGCAGGUGAUGCAUGGCCGUCGUCAGUUCGUGGCUUGAGCUGUUCCCUUAAGUGGGGAAACGAACGCAACCCUCGUUGCCUGUUACAAGUGUCAGGCGAGACUGCUCCCUCACGGGAGAGGAAGGUGAGGAUGACGCCAGGUCAGCAUGUCCCUAGAUGCCUUGGGCUGCACCCGUGAUACAAUGGGUAGUACAACGAGACGCAAUGUCGCGAGACGGAGCAAAUCUUUAUAAAACUACCCUCAAUUCGGAUUGAAGUCUGCAACUCGACCUCAUGAAGACGGAAUCGCUAGUAAUCGUGGAUCAGCAUCGCCACGGUGAAUACGUUCCCGAGCCUUGCACACACCGCCCGU
rnacentral:rRNA from 1 species